rnacentral:rRNA from 1 species
UGAAGGGCCGCGGUAUUUUGACCGUGCAAAGGUAGCAUAAUCAUUAGUUCUUUAAUUGUGAUCUGGAAUGAAUGGCUUGACGAGAUGCGAGCUGUCUUAAAUUUGAAUGUUUUAUUGAAUUUGGUUUUUGAGUUAAAAUUCUUAGAUGUUUUUAUGGGACGAGAAGACCCUAUAGAGUUUGACAUGUUGGCUUUCUUGUUUAUUUGUCGUUUGUUUUGUUUUUGAUAAGUGGGCUUUAUGUUUUGUUGGGGUGAUGAGAGGAAUAUUUAACUCCUCUUGGUUUAGUGGUUAUAUUGAUAUAUAUUUAUUUGAUCCAUUUAUUUUGAUUAUAAGAUUAAAUUACCU